AUAACAACUGAAUGUAAUCAAAUCAUAUUGCAAGCAUGUACAUGGUUUCGAAUCACCCCCCAACUAAGGGGGGUUUAGUUCCUCAUACUCACAAAGCAAAGAUACAUAAAAUUAGACAUUAAAAUCAAAGGAAAGAAAACACCUAAAAUGCUUCAACUUGGUAGCAAGUGCAUCCAAGAUUCCUCUUUUCCCUUGCUUGCGGCAUGAAGCUUGUAGACAGAUUUUUGGG
rnacentral:lncRNA from 1 species